rnacentral:rRNA from 1 species
GAUCAUUAAUGAACUUGGUUGGGUUGUUGCUGGCUCUCUGGAGCAUGUGCACGCCUACUCCAUUUCAACCACCUGUGCACCUUUUGUAGACAUGGACAACUCUCGAGAAAGUUUUUCUCGGAUUUAGAAAAUUGCUGUGUGAAAGCCAGCUUCUUCUUAUGUUCCUAGUCUAUGUUUUUUCAUAUACCCUAUAAAAUGUAAUAGAAUGUUGCUAUAGGCUUUUUGUGCCUUUAAAAACAAUACAACUUUCAACAACGGAUCUCUUGGCUCUCGCAUCGAUGAAGAACGCAGCGAAAUGCGAUAAGUAAUGUGAAUUGCAGAAUUCAGUGAAUCAUCGAAUCUUUGAACGCACCUUGCGCUCCUUGGUAUUCCGAGGAGCAUGCCUGUUUGAGUGUCAUGAAAUUCUCAACCUCUCUGGCUUGUAUAAGCUGGGGUUAGGUUUGGAUUGUGGGAGUUUGCUGGCUUUUCAAGUCAGCUCUCCUCAAAUGCAUUAGCGAGAUCAUGUGCUGGUUUUCUCGUGGUAUGAUAAUUAUCUAUACUACUGAGAAUCAGAUUCCUUUAUAGGAAGAUUUUGCUUCUAAUAAUCUCAAUUUGAGAUAGCAAUGACCAUUUUUAACCUCAAAUCAGGUAGG